rnacentral:rRNA from 1 species
UAGGGAAUAUUGGACAAUGGGCACAAGCCUGAUCCAGCCAUGCCGCGUGGAUGAUGAAGGCCUUAGGGUUGUAAAAUCCUUUCGCCGAGGACGAUAAUGACGGUACUCGGAGAAGAAGCUCCGGCUAACUUCGUGCCAGCAGCCGCGGUAAUACGAAGGGGGCUAGCGUUGCUCGGAUUUACUGGGCGUAAAGCGCGUGUAGGCGGGUCGUUAAGUUGGGGGUGAAAUCCCGAGGCUCAACCUCGGAACUGCCUUCAAAACUGGCGACCUGGACCUAAGUAGAGGCAAGUGGAAUUGCGAGUGUAGAGGUGAAAUUCGUAGAUAUUCGCAGGAACACCAGUGGCGAAGGCGACUUGCUGGACUUAUGGUGACGCUGAGACGCGAAAGCGUGGGGAGCAAACAGGAUUAGAUACCCCUGUAGUCCCUGAGCGGGCUGGCAAGGCGCAU